CCAGGAUAUGGCUACAUAAGCCGGCUUCCAGUCGCGUUCCGUAACGCUACGGAGAGGAAGCCUUCACCGCUCAUCACACACCCAGGGAGCUUUUGGGCACUCACCUUCCUGGUCAGCAGCCUGUGCUGACUGCACCAAUCUUUUAACAUUCUGAUCAGGAGGAGCCUGUCCGUCCCGUCAAUUGGGAUAAGAAGAACAGGGGAACCUUGGAGAUACAGGGAUUAUAAGGGCACAGAAGGCUGGAUAUC